UACAGAGGUCCCAAGCGUUGUUCGGAUUCACUGGGCGUAAAGGGUGCGCAGGUGGGUUUGCAAGUUCGAUGUGAAAGCCCUGGGCUCAACCUGGGAAUGGCAUUGGAUACUGGCGAUCUAGAGUGCGGUAGAGGGCAGUGGAAUUCCCGGUGUAGCAGUGAAAUGCGUAGAGAUCGGGAGGAACAUCUGUGGCGAAGGCGACUGCCUGGACCAGCACUGACACUGAGGCACGAAAGCGUGGGGAGCAAACAGG
rnacentral:rRNA from 1 species